rnacentral:rRNA from 1 species
ACGAACGCUGGCGGCGCGCCUAACACAUGCAAGUCGAACGAGAGAUGAGGAGCUUGCUCUUCAAAUCGAGUGGCGAACGGGUGAGUAACGCGUGAGGAACCUGCCUCAAAGAGGGGGACAACAGUUGGAAACGACUGCUAAUACCGCAUAAGCCCACGGCUCGGCAUCGAGCAGAGGGAAAAGGAGCGAUCCGCUUUGAGAUGGCCUCGCGUCCGAUUAGCUAGUUGGUGAGGUAACGGCCCACCAAGGCGACGAUCGGUAGCCGGACUGAGAGGUUGAACGGCCACAUUGGGACUGAGACACGGCCCAGACUCCUACGGGAGGCAGCAGUGGGGAAUAUUGCACAAUGGGGGAAACCCUGAUGCAGCGACGCCGCGUGGAGGAAGAAGGUCUUCGGAUUGUAAACUCCUGUUGUUGAGGAAGAUAAUGACGGUACUCAACAAGGAAGUGACGGCUAACUACGUGCCAGCAGCCGCGGUAAAACGUAGGUCACAAGCGUUGUCCGGAAUUACUGGGUGUAAAGGGAGCGCAGGCGGGAGAACAAGUUGGAAGUGAAAUCCAUGGGCUCAACCCAUGAACUGCUUUCAAAACUGUUUUUCUUGAGUAGUGCAGAGGUAGGCGGAAUUCCCGGUGUAGCGGUGGAAUGCGUAGAUAUCGGGAGGAACACCAGUGGCGAAGGCGGCCUACUGGGCACCAACUGACGCUGAGGCUCGAAAGUGUGGGUAGCAAACAGGAUUAGAUACCCUGGUAGUCCACACAGUAAACGAUGAAUACUCGCUGUUUGCGAUAUACGGCAAGCGGCCAAGCGAAAGCAUUAAGUAUUCCACCUGGGGAGUACGCCGGCAACGGUGAAACUCAAAGGAAUUGACGGGGGCCCGCACAAGCAGUGGAUUAUGUGGUUUAAUUCGAAGCAACGCGAAGAACCUUACCAAGUCUUGACAUCCCUUGACGAACAUAGAAAUAUGUUUUCUCUUCGGAGCAAGGAGACAGGUGGUGCAUGGUUGUCGUCAGCUCGUGUCGUGAGAUGUUGGGUUAAGUCCCGCAACGAGCGCAACCCUUAUGGUCAGUUACUACGCAAGAGGACUCUGGCCAGACUGCCGUUGACAAAACGGAGGAAGGUGGGGAUGACGUCAAAUCAUCAUGCCCUUUAUGACUUGGGCUACACACGUACUACAAUGGCGUUAAACAAAGAGAAGCAAGACCGCGAGGUGGAGCAAAACUCAGAAACAACGUCCCAGUUCGGACUGCAGGCUGCAACUCGCCUGCACGAAGUCGGAAUUGCUAGUAAUCGUGGAUCAGCAUGCCACGGUGAAUACGUUCCCGGGCCUUGUACACACCGCCCGUCACACCAUGAGAGCCGGGGGGACCCGAAGUCGGUAGUCUAACCGUAAGGAGGACGCCGCCGAAGGUAAAACUGGUGAUUGGGGUG